rnacentral:rRNA from 1 species
ACGACUCUCGGCAACGGAUAUCUCGGCUCACGCAUCGAUGAAGAACGUAGCAAAAUGCGAUACUUGGUGUGAAUUGCAGAAUCCCGUGAACCAUCGAGUUUUUGAACGCAAGYUGCGCCCGAAGCCAUUUGGUUGAGGGCACGUCUGCCUGGGCGUCACGC